rnacentral:rRNA from 1 species
UGAGGAAUAUUGGACAAUGGGCGCAAGCCUGAUCCAGCCAUGCCGCGUGCAGGAUGACGGUCCUAUGGAUUGUAAACUGCUUUUAUACAGGAAGAAACCCUACCACGUGUGGUAGAUUGACGGUACUGUAGGAAUAAGGAUCGGCUAACUCCGUG